UACCAUCAACACCCAAAGCUGAUAUUCUAAUUAAACUAUCUCCUG
rnacentral:tRNA from 1 species